AAACACAUUAAUAUAUAAUGUAAAAGUAGUUAGAAAAAUGUUUUGAUAAGCUAAAGAAGAAUAACUGACAUAUAUGCAUGUGAUUUCGGCUUGAAAACCAUACUUACUAAUUACUAAAAACGAAGAUAAGCAAAAGGAUUUGUAAUAUAGAGAUAACUGCUUGAUCGAUUACAUGAUUAAAACUCAGUUUUAAGUUAAACAAUAUACAAUAGAGAGAAAUAGCGAGACGUACAUGAUCUUGGACAACGAAACAAUGAAUUUUUUUUGUAAAUGACCAAGUUUAAUUAGUUGUUUGUUUAAAGGUUAUGAAAAUUUGAAAAUAACAUAAAA
rnacentral:lncRNA from 1 species